GUGGCUCAACGGCAGAGCAGUCGCCUUGUAAGCGGAAGGUUAGGGGUUCGAGUCCCCUUGGCUCCA
rnacentral:tRNA from 1 species